UGGGGAAUAUUGCACAAUGGAGGGAACUCUGAUGCAGCGACGCCGCGUGAGUGAUGAAGGACUUCGUUUCGUAAAACUCUGUUCUAUGGGAAGAAAAGGACUGUACCAUAGGAGAAAGCUCCGGCUAAAUACGUGCCAGCAGCCGCGGUAAUACGUAUGGAGCGAGCGUUGUCCGGAAUUAUUGGGCGUAAAGGGUGCGCAGGCGGCUUUACAAGUUGGAUGUGAAAUAUUGUGGCUCAACCACAAACGUGCAUCCAAAACUGCAAAGCUUGAGUGAAGGAGAGGUAAGUGGAAUUCCUGGUGUAGCGGUGGAAUGCGUAGAUAUCAGGAGGAAUACCGGUGGCGAAGGCGACUUACUGGACUUAAACUGACGCUCAGGCACGAAAGCGUGGGGAGCAAACAGG
rnacentral:rRNA from 1 species